UCCACGCCCUAAUGUGGACCUAAAAGAUUGCUUGCUUGUUUGUUAGUUAUAGAGAUUAGCAAGUCAGUGAACAGCAAAGGCCAUGACUGCUGCUAUGAGACAUGCUACCAGGGCCCCAAAGAUUCCAGCACCCAGGAGCCACUGCCAGAUCUUCUGGGCCUGCUGUAGAUAAGGGCUCAGGAAUUCCUGCAGAAAGCGCUGGACUGCAGGAUGGCGAGAGACAGUGUGAAAGACGGAAAGAGAGAGCUUGGUGACAGGAAGACUUGCAGUACCUGUCGACAAAGGAGUGGUGUAGGAAGAAGAUGGGGUCAUUGGCAGACCCUUGGACUGAAGACAUGGAGCCAUUCAUGUAGGCAUGCACAGCAGCAUGCAUCCAACGUUGAGCACUGUUGCCCUGUCCAGUCUGGGGAUUGCCAAAGCCUACAAAAAGAUAAAGAAGAUGAGCCUCUUUCAGUCUGCAAUUAUGUAUGCGCCCCAUGUCCACGGGAUCAAAAAUGACCCACUCUCACCAGACCACUUGUGAUAAAGCUUUCCAAGUUCACAGUC